AGUUGCUUCAGCGUCCUGGUGUUGCUGUGUGGUGGGUACCGUGCGGUCAGUCAGCCAAGAUGCCUGAGGAAACCCAGACGCAAGACCAACCGAUGGAGGAGGAGGAGGUUGAGACCUUCGCCUUUCAGGCAGAAAUUGCCCAGUUGAUGUCAUUGAUCAUCAAUACUUUCUACUCGAACAAAGAGAUUUUUCUGAGAGAGCUCAUUUCAAAUUCAUCAGAUGUAAGUCGCUUAUUAACCCAGAAUCGGAUUUUGGUUUCAGUAUGAACUUCUUUAGAGCUGUAUGCUUAAAUUAAUAUUUUUUGUUAAUAGGCAUUGGACAAAAUCCGGUAUGAAAGCUUGACAGAUCCCAGUAAAUUAGACUCUGGGAAAGAGCUGCAUAUUAACCUUAUACCGAACAAACAAGAUCGAACCCUCACUAUUGUGGAUACUGGAAUUGGAAUGACCAAGGCUGACUUGAUCAAUAACCUUGGUACUAUCGCCAAGUCUGGGACCAAAGCGUUCAUGGAAGCUUUGCAGGCUGGUGCGGAUAUCUCUAUGAUUGGCCAGUU
rnacentral:sRNA from 1 species